AGAAAUCUCUCAAUAUGAAAAAUUGAUGGCUUUGUGGUCUUAUUUUUUGUGCUUUCAUAUAUUCAUAAUUGAUAUGGAGUAAUUUUACUUGGCCUUUUUCCUACGAAUAUUAGGUUGAUCAAUAUAUGGUUUUUUCUUUCUUUCUCUACAACCUAUAUGUUCCCUAACACUUUAGGUCUUUUGAUUAUGAAAGGUGUACAUGGAUUUAAUUCAGUGGUACACCUUCUAUAUGCAUAACUUGGAGGAGCUUAACAACUGUUGGAGUCCAAGGCUUCUUUCUUUGAAUAUCUGAUUUGGAAGGUAAGUGGUGAUCCGCAUUGAACAACAAACAACAGGUGAAAUGAAAACCACAUUGAAUUACAAAGACUAACAUAUUCAUUUAUCUUUUUCCCAAGAUACAAUUCCUUUAAUUAUUAGUCAUUAUCAUGUUUGUGUAUUUUGAAAUUUGGAUUCAAUUGUAUAAGUAUUGAACUGAAACUUGCAAAAUUUCAGACUCAUUGUCCCUAAUUUAAUGUUUCCUUUUACUUUGUAAAUUUGUAAACCUCAUUUUGUUUCUAAAACUUUUGCGAGGUUCAACAUUUUCUGAUGUCUUAAUUUGGAGUUGUACUCAGAUUUGGUUCAUCUCAUGCUUAUCAUUAGUUAGAUCAAGCAUUAUAACUUUCUACAUUCUUUCUACUGGUUUUGUACAUGUUGUCUGCACGUUACUUUUGUCUCAGAGUGCUACUUUCAUGACUGUUACCAUGGAGAUUAACAUUAGCUGAGUGGUUACUGUCAUGAAAUUUUAAUAUUGCUAUCAUAAAUAGUUGAAGGGGAGAUUAAUUAAAGAGGAUGAAGGGAGCAUAAGUCAAACUAUGAGUGCAUAAUGUAAUUGGUUCCUAUCAAGUUUCAAUGAAGAAUUGGAAGUAGAAGGUUAUGAUCAAAUGGUGAGGAUCGUUGUGAGGUCAUUUACUUUCUUUCUUUUACUAUUGUUAUUUUAUAUUCACUUUCUUUUACUAAUGUUUGAGUUGACAAAGACUGUCACAAGAAGUUUUCAUAUGGUUACGGCAGAUAUUAAUAUUAAUGAGGUGCACCUAUAGUAUGUAAGCUUUUUGAGAAGAUAGACACUGAUGCAUAUAUGAUGAGAACCUUGAGGGAUAAGGAGAAGAAAAAGGAAUAGAAUGGUAAAUUGAUGCAUAGUAUAUGGAGGAUCGUUUAAUGAAUAUAUAUAUGCUAUCAUACAUUUAAAACAACAUAUUAAUUUAAUAUGUUGACUCUAUGUUUGAAGAGAUUAUUGUGCAAUGACUUUAAUUUUGA